rnacentral:siRNA from 1 species
CGAAGGAGCUCGUUGUCUUCGUA